CAGUAACCACUUAACACCAGGUGGGCUGUAAGUUCGUCCACCCAUCUAAGCAAUAAAAAAAAAGGCAUGAAAUAAAAUGAAAUGAAAUGAGAUGAGAUGAGAUAAUAUGGGAGCACGUAAUGAUUUAUAUUUUAUAUAAAAAAGUUAUCAUAUAAAUAUAGAUUUUGAUAUAAAAAAGUUUUCAUAAAAAUUGAAAUAAGACUGACCUUAAGGUCUUAGUUACCAGGUCAUAAAAUCCCUUAAAAAAAUCAUUUCGUGCGCAGCGCGUUUCGCAAUAUUUCGCAUUGUUGUUUUUAACGUUGUUUUUAAUUUCUGGCUUUGUUCGUUUUCGUAAACAACCUAAUGCGCGAUUUCUCGUAACAGGUUCCAUUUUUAUUUUCAAGCAACCUGUUGCUGCAACAGGUUUCGUAAAAAAUUACUCAUCUUUAGUAGGAAACAGCCUCAAAAAUAUCGUUUUUUAUUAAAAUAUCUCGAACAGCAAACAUAACCUAAAAUGUAAACAUUGUCUGAUUUUACCAAUUUGGCCAUUGCUGGGUGACCGAAAAUUGGGCUCAUGAAACCUUCUAAGAAUCUACCAACACUAGCGCAUUCACGGAAUUCUCGUAAAAACAAUAACACAAGCCGAGAUGCGGUUUAGAUAUAAAAGCCACGAAACAGCAAUAAAACAGUAAACGCUAAUAAAAAUGGAUAAGAGAACUCGGAUAGGCAUGCCGCAAUGUCAACAACCUGCCGGCGUACGUUAAUUGACUCGGAAAUGGACGAAUUUAAAUUACAAUAUCCUUGCACUGGCGCCACACGCACAUAAUUAUAUGUAUAACAUACAUAUAUUUAAAAUAAAAGUUCUUAAAUUGCAAA